rnacentral:rRNA from 1 species
AUUGAACGCUGGCGGCAUGCCUUACACAUGCAAGUCGAACGGCAGCACGGGUGCUUGCACCUGGUGGCGAGUGGCGAACGGGUGAGUAAUAUAUCGGAUCGCACCUUAUUGUGGGUGAUAACGGAGCGAAAGCUGUGCUAAUACCGUAUAAUCCCUAAGGGGCAAAGCGGGCGACCGUAAGGCCUCGCGCAAUUAGAGCGGCCGAUACCUGAUUAGAUAGUUGGUACGGUAAAGGCUCACCAAGGAAACGAUCAGUAGCUGGUCUGAGAGGACGAUCAGCCACACUGGACCUGCGACACGGCCCAGACUCCUACGGGAGGCAGCAGUGGGGAAUUUUGGACAAUGGGGGCAACCCUGAUCCAGCAAUGCCGCGUGAGUGAAGAAGGCCUUCGGGUUGUAAGGCUCUUUUGUCAGGGAAGAAACAGCAGCUCUAACACAGUAUGCGAAUGAUGGUACCUGAAGAAUAAGCACCGGCUAACUACGUGCCAGCCGCCGCCGUAA